UACGAAGGUGGCAAGCGUUGUUCGGAUUUACUGGGCGUACAGGGCGCGUAGGCGGUUGGGUAAGCCCUCCGUGAAAUCUCCAGGCUUAACCUGGAAAGUGCAGAGGGGACUGUUCAGCUAGAGGAUGGGAGAGGAGCGCGGAAUUCCCGGUGUAGCGGUGAAAUGCGUAGAGAUCGGGAGGAAGGCCGGUGGCGAAGGCGGCGCUCUGGAACAUUUCUGACGCUGAGGCUCGAAAGCGUGGGGAGCAAACAGG
rnacentral:rRNA from 1 species